GAUGAACGCUGGCGGCGUGCCUAAUACAUGCAAGUCGAGCGAACAGACGAGGAGCUUGCUCCUCUGACGUUAGCGGCGGACGGGUGAGUAACACGUGGAUAACCUACCUAUAAGACUGGGAUAACUUCGGGAAACCGGAGCUAAUACCGGAUAAUAUAUUGAACCGCAUGGUUCAAUAGUGAAAGACGGUUUUGCUGUCACUUAUAGAUGGAUCCGCGCCGCAUUAGCUAGUUGGUAAGGUAACGGCUUACCAAGGCAACGAUGCGUAGCCGACCUGAGAGGGGGAUCGGCCACAUUGGAACUGAGCCACGGUCCAGACUCCUACGGGAGGCAGCAGUAGGGAAUGUUCCGCAAUGGGCGAAAGCCUGACGGAGCAACGCCGCGUGAGUGAUGAAGGUCUUCGGAUCGUAAAACUCUGUUAUUAGGGAAGAACAAAUGUGUAAGUAACUAUGCACGUCUUGACGGUACCUAAUCAGAAAGCCACGGCUAACUACGUG
rnacentral:rRNA from 1 species